AUUGAACGCUGGCGGCAUGCCUUACACAUGCAAGUCGAACGGCAGCACGGGUGCUUGCACCUGGUGGCGAGUGGCGAACGGGUGAGUAAUACAUCGGAACGUACCUUAUCGUGGGGGAUAACGCAGCGAAAGCUGUGCUAAUACCGCAUACGCCCUGAGGGGGAAAGCGGGGGAUCGAAAGACCUCGCGCGAUUAGAGCGGCCGAUGGCUGAUUAGCUUGUUGGUGGGGUAAAAGCCCACCAAGGCGACGAUCAGUAGCUGGUCUGAGAGGACGAUCAGCCACACGGGGACUGAGACACGGCCCAGACUCCUACGGGAGGCAGCAGUGGGGAAUUUUGGACAAUGGGGGCAACCCUGAUCCAGCAAUGCCGCGUGAGUGAAGAAGGCCUUCGGGUUGUAAAGCUCUUUUGUCAGGGAAGAAACACCGGCUCUAACACAGUCCGGGAAUGACGGUACCUGAAGAAUAAGCACCGGCUAACUACGUGCCAGCCGCCGCCGUAA
rnacentral:rRNA from 1 species